CGCCCCUUGGUGUGGCGGUCAGCACGUCAGACUUUGAUACAUACCAAGUCUUCUGAAAUCGCCAGUUCGAAUCUGGCAGGGGCGC
rnacentral:tRNA from 1 species